rnacentral:sRNA from 1 species
UUACCUCCUCGAAAGAGGGGUCGCCCUCCAC